UACGUAGGGACCAAGCGUUGUUCGGAUUUACUGGGCGUAAAGGGCGCGUAGGCGGCUUAACAAGUCACUUGUGAAAUCUCCGGGCUUAACUCGGAACGGCCAAGUGAAACUGUCAAGCUAGAGUGCGGAAGGGGCAAUCGGAAUUCCUGGUGUAGCGGUGAAAUGCGCAGAUAUCAGGAGGAACACCGGUGGCGAAGGCGGAUCUCUGGGCCUUACCUGACGCUCAGGUGCGAAAGCUAGGGGAGCGAACAGG
rnacentral:rRNA from 1 species